rnacentral:rRNA from 1 species
UACAGAGGGCUCAAGCGUUGUUCGGAUUCAUUGGGCGUAAAGGGUGCGUAGGCGGCGCGGUAAGUCGGGUGUGAAAUCUCGGAGCUUAACUCCGAAACUGCAUUCGAUACUGCCGUGCUUGAGGACUGGAGAGGAGACUGGAAUUUACGGUGUAGCGGUGAAAUGCGUAGAUAUCGUAAGGAAGACCAGUGGCGAAGGCGGGUCUCUGGACAGUUCCUGACGCUGAUGCACGAAGGCCAGGGGAGCAAACGGG